UACGGAGGGUGUAAACGUUGCUCGGAAUCAUUGGGCGUAAAGCGCACGUAGGUGGCCUGUUAAGUCGGGUGUGAAAUCCCUGGGCUCAACCCAGGAAGUGCACUCGAAACUGGCAGGCUUGAGUACUGAAGAGGGUCGCGGAAUUCCCGGUGUAGAGGUGAAAUUCGUAGAUAUCGGGAGGAACACCAGUGGCGAAGGCGGCGACCUGGGCAGAUACUGACACUGAGGUGCGAAAGCGUGGGGAGCAAACAGG
rnacentral:rRNA from 1 species